rnacentral:rRNA from 1 species
UACGUAGGGGGCUAGCGUUGUCCGGAAUCAUUGGGCGUAAAGAGCGUGUAGGCGGCUCGGUAAGUCCGCUGUAAAAGUCAAAGGCUCAACCUUUGAAUGUCAGUGGAUACUGCCGGGCUAGAGUCCGGAAGAGGCGAGUGGAACUCCUGGUGUAGCGGUGGAAUGCGCAGAUAUCAGGAGGAACACCGGUGGCGAAGGCGGAUCUCUGGGCCUGUUCUGACGCUGAGGCGCGAAAGCUAGGGGAGCGAACAGG